CCAUGCUGCUGCUGUGAUCUAGCCUGCGUAAAGUACCUGGGAAGGGCUCAUCAGGACGUCUGACUGAACCCAAUCCAUUCGUCUCCACACUCGACUCUCAGCUGUGCAACGUACGUCCUGACUGAACCCAAGCCAUUCGUCUCCACACUCAACUCUCAGCUGUGCAACGCAUCUGUUCGGGACACCCCAUCUAGAUGUAUGGGUGAAUAGAUUGCCAUCUUCAAUUGGAGCAUGUAGAAAUCGCCUCCUCCCCCGGGCCCCCAGCAGGCACUGACAGGCUACCAGUGGGCCAACCAACCAGUGUGCCAACCAACCAACCAGUGUGCCAACCAACCAACCAACCAGUGUGCCAACCAACCA